rnacentral:rRNA from 1 species
AUUGAACGCUGGCGGCAGGCCUAACACAUGCAAGUCGAGCGGAUGACGGGAGCUUGCUCCUUGAUUCAGCGGCGGACGGGUGAGUAAUGCCUAGGAAUCUGCCUGGUAGUGGGGGACAACGUUUCGAAAGGAACGCUAAUACCGCAUACGUCCUACGGGAGAAAGCAGGGGACCUUCGGGCCUUGCGCUAUCAGAUGAGCCUAGGUCGGAUUAGCUAGUUGGUGGGGUAAUGGCUCACCAAGGCGACGAUCCGUAACUGGUCUGAGAGGAUGAUCAGUCACACUGGAACUGAGACACGGUCCAGACUCCUACGGGAGGCAGCAGUGGGGAAUAUUGGACAAUGGGCGAAAGCCUGAUCCAGCCAUGCCGCGUGUGUGAAGAAGGUCUUCGGAUUGUAAAGCACUUUAAGUUGGGAGGAAGGGCAGUAAGUUAAUACCUUGCUGUUUUGACGUUACCGACAGAAUAAGCACCGGCUAACUCUGUGCCAGCAGCCGCGGUAAUACAGAGGGUGCAAGCGUUAAUCGGAAUUACUGGGCGUAAAGCGCGCGUAGGUGGUUUGUUAAGUUGGAUGUGAAAGCCCCGGGCUCAACCUGGGAACUGCAUCCAAAACUGGCAAGCUAGAGUACGGUAGAGGGUGGUGGAAUUUCCUGUGUAGCGGUGAAAUGCGUAGAUAUAGGAAGGAACACCAGUGGCGAAGGCGACCACCUGGACUGAUACUGACACUGAGGUGCGAAAGCGUGGGGAGCAAA